rnacentral:rRNA from 1 species
GAUGAACGCUGGCGGCGUGCCUAAUACAUGCAAGUCGAGCGAACGGACGAGAAGCUUGCUUCUCUGAUGUUAGCGGCGGACGGGUGAGUAACACGUGGAUAACCUACCUAUAAGACUGGGAUAACUUCGGGAAACCGGAGCUAAUACCGGAUAAUAUUUUGAACCGCAUGGUUCAAAAGUAAAAGACGGUCUUGCUGUCACUUAUAGAUGGAUCCGCGCUGCAUUAGCUAGUUGGUAAGGUAACGGCUUACCGAGGCAACGAUGCAUAGCCGACCUGAGAGGGUGAUCGGCCACACUGGAACUGAGACACGGUCCAGACUCCUACGGGAGGCAGCAGUAGGGAAUCUUCCGCAAUGGGCGAAAGCCUGACGGAGCAACGCCGCGUGAGUGAUGAAGGUCUUCGGAUCGUAAAACUCUGUUAUUAGGGAAGAACAUAUGUGUAAGUAACUGUGCACAUCUUGACGGUACCUAAUCAGAAAGCCACGGCUAACUACGUG